ACAGUGAAUAAGUUUUCUUAAGUAAGUUUGAUUUUGUGCUUCAAACAAAUUGGAGUAAACUGUGUCCAAAAUCUCCCUAUCAGGUGUUGAGUUCAGUUUGGUUUCAGUUGGCUGAAUCUGAAUUUUAGCGUUUCCAACCCACUUUGGAUCACUAUAACUUUUGAUCCAUGAGCCUUUGGUCUAUGGUUCCUGCACCAAAUUUGUAGAGCUAUAUUUUGUCAACAAGUUUUGUUGACGGAGAUCUCCCUGUUACCACUGAAAUUUGUGAGUAAAUUGAGCUCAAAGUUGCUCUGUCAGAUAGAUGUGUACUGAAUUUGGUUCAGAUAGCUGAAUCUGAAUUUCUGUAUUUUCACCCCACUUUGAAGCACUAUAACUCUUGGUCUAUGAUUAUUUGACCUAGGUUUGCUGCAGCAGGUUUGUAGAGGUAUGUUUUGUGAGCAAAUUUUGUUAACUAAGGUUAGCCUGUUAUUACUGAAAAUUGGGAGAAAUUUUGCUCCAAAGUGAUCCUGUCAGGUUCAUGUGUUCGGGUAGCUGAAACAGAAAAUUCAGGGUUGGGCUUCUGUAACUGAAGAUUUUUUUUCUCUGUUGGCUGGACUUCACUAGAGUGCUCGAGUUGUAACAGAGAUAGAGUGUAUGACCAAGGAUUUAGUAACCUCAUCACUACUGCGAAAUAUUUAGUUUUGGACUGUUGUAUGGCCUGUGAGCAGUAAAAAUCUCAUCUGCUAGCUCUGUGGUGGAGUGCACUGGACAACAAAAUUCUGAAAGUUUUACCCAUGCAGAUAAUGUCAAGUUGGAUUUAUGUGAGCCUGUCCUAGGUGGAGUCCUUAUCUGCCUUCUAUUGUUUAUGUAAAAUGAACCAAGUUAAGUGUUUUGGCUGCACCCAUGAACAUGUGUGGCACUGUGAUUGUGUGCCACGUGUGGAGGCCAUGCAGUGCUAGCACCAUAUAGACCACUCUCCACUGCCUGCGUGGUGUGCUCAUGGCUGUUUGCUCCCUCGUUCAGCCACCUUAGGGUUUGGUUUUGUGAAGUUUUUCCCCUACUCUUGAGCUCCAAAUUUGUGGUCAUCGUGUGAGUGAUGUGGCAGUGUUCAGGCCUAGGUAACCUCCCUUUCAAACCCCCAAAUCUGAUUUGCUCUUGUGCUGUGUGCCAGCUCCCUAGUUGGUGACCACGCCCACUAAAUUCCCCACAUCGCCGUGGCCAGGCUUUCUCGUGGAGUUUUUCACCCGUGUGGUGAAUGUUCCGUGCUCUGCAAAGAACACCUAGAAGAAGUGGUGUCUGCAGAAGGAGUUCACUUCAGUGCUUGCUGAUCCAGUGGUGGAGUUUCAUCUAACUUCUUACCAGAGUAGAAGGAAUUUAGAUCUUCUCCUGCAAUAAGGCAAGCCCCGGUGCAUUUGCCACCUUCCUUGUAUUACAAAAUUUUAUCACUUAUAUGCUGCAUUAGGUAAUAGGAGUUGAAUGAUUAAACACUUGAUGCAUUACCAUCCUUGAAAGAUUGAUUAUCAUACCUUGUUACCUGUUUUAUAAAAACUAGUAAUGCUUAGUUAUGCUUA